AUUGAACGCUGGCGGCAUGCCUUACACAUGCAAGUCGAACGGUAACGCGGGGCAACCUGGCGACGAGUGGCGAACGGGUGAGUAAUAUAUCGGAACGUGCCCAGUAGUGGGGGAUAGCCCGGCGAAAGCCGGAUUAAUACCGCAUGAGACCUGAGGGUGAAAGCGGGGGAUCGCAAGACCUCGCGCUAUUGGAGCGGCCGAUAUCAGAUUAGGUAGUUGGUGGGGUAAAGGCCUACCAAGCCGACGAUCUGUAGCUGGUCUGAGAGGACGACCAGCCACACUGGGACUGAGACACGGCCCAGACUCCUACGGGAGGCAGCAGUGGGGAAUUUUGGACAAUGGGCGCAAGCCUGAUCCAGCCAUGCCGCGUGCGGGAAGAAGGCCUUCGGGUUGUAAACCGCUUUUGUCAGGGAAGAAAUCUUCUGGGUUAAUACCUCGGGAGGAUGACGGUACCUGAAGAAUAAGCACCGGCUAACUACGUGCCAGCAGCCGCGGUAAAGAGUAAUACA
rnacentral:rRNA from 1 species